GUGAGUCAUCGAAUCUUUGAACGCACAUUGCGCCCUUUGGUAUUCCUUAGGGCAUGCCUGUUCGAGCGUCAUCUAACCCUUCAAGCAUUGCUUGGUGUUGGGCGUUUGUCCCGCCUCUGGCGUGGACUCGCCUCAAAGACAUUGGCGGCCUGUGUAUUGGCUUCGAGCGCAGCAGACUCGCGCGUCGUCCCCUCUAGCACCAGGUGUCCAGUAAGCCUAUAACCCCAAAGUUUGACCUCGGAUCAGGUAGGGAUACCCGCUGAACUUAAGCAUAUCAAUAAGCGGAGGA
rnacentral:misc_RNA from 1 species